rnacentral:misc_RNA from 1 species
ACACGGAGGGAAACUAAAUUAAGGUCUGUUGAUGAGCUUCAAUCAGGUUUGAGACGCAGUAAAAGGGCUACACGAAACCGGCUUAAUUACCGUCAGUAUGUGCUGUCAGAUUCAGAAACAGAAUCAAUGAAACCUGAAAAAUCAAAUCCAUCAGACGAAUACUCAGAUGCUAGUGAGAAUGGAGAGUAUUCGGCUGGAAGUCAAGAUUCUGAUGACAAUGAGGAUGAAGAACAAGAUAUGAAAGUUGAUCAGCCUGAUGAAGGUUACACUGAGACCGUUGAGAAAGAGCU